rnacentral:rRNA from 1 species
GGGGAAUUGUUCGCAAUGGGCGCAAGCCUGACGACGCAACGCCGCGUGGAGGAUGACGAUCUUCGGGUCGUAAACUCCUUUCGAUCGAGACGAACGGCCUCCGGGGGAACAAUCCGGAGGAGUGACGGUACCGAGCGAAGAAGAACCGGCUAACUACGUGCCAGCAGCCGCGGUAAUACGUAGGGUGCGAGCGUUAAUCGGAAUUACUGGGCGUAAAGCGUGCGCAGGCGGUUUUGUAAGUCAGAUGUGAAAUCCCCGGGCUCAACCUGGGAACUGCGUUUGAAACUACAAGGCUAGAGUGUAGAAGAGGGGGGUAGAAUUCCACGUGUAGCAGUGAAAUGCGUAGAGAUGUGGAGGAAUACCGAUGGCGAAGGCAGCCCCCUGGGCUAACACUGACGCUCAUGCACGAAAGCGUGGGGAGCAAAC